rnacentral:rRNA from 1 species
GAGAGUUGAUCCUGGCUCAGGAUGAACGCUGGCGGCGUGCCUAACACAUGCAAGUCGAACGGAAACCAGACGCUUCGGAGACUUCGGUCAAUGUUGUUGGUUUAGUGGCGGACGGGUGAGUAACGCGUGGAUAACCUGCCUCAUACAGGGGGAUAACAGUUAGAAAUGACUGCUAAUACCGCAUAAGCGCACGGGAUCGCAUGUUCCUGUGUGAAAAACUCCGGUGGUAUGAGAUGGAUCCGCGUCUGAUUAGCUAGUUGGCGGGGUAACAGCCCACCAAGGCGACGAUCAGUAGCCGGCCUGAGAGGGUGAACGGCCACAUUGGGACUGAGACACGGCCCAAACUCCUACGGGAGGCAGCAGUGGGGGAUAUUGCACAAUGGGGGAAACCCUGAUGCAGCGAACCGCCGCGUGAGUGAAGAAGUAUUUCGGUAUGUAAAGCUCUAUCAGCAGGGAAGAUAAUGACGGUACCUGACUAAGAAGCACCGGCUAAAUACGUGCCAGCAGCAGC